rnacentral:rRNA from 1 species
CACGUAGGCACCAAGCGUUGUCCGGAUUUAUUGGGCGUAAAGAGCUCGUAGGCGGUUCAGUAAGUCGGGUGUGAAAACUUUGGGCUCAACCCAAAGCGUGCAUCCGAUACUGCUGUGACUUGAGUUCGGUAGGGGAGUGGGGAAUUCCUAGUGUAGCGGUGAAAUGCGCAGAUAUUAGGAGGAACACCGGUGGCGAAGGCGCCACUCUGGGCCGAAACUGACGCUGAGGAGCGAAAGCAUGGGUAGCAAACAGG